rnacentral:rRNA from 1 species
AGAGUUUGAUUAUGGCUCAGGACGAACGCUAGCGAUAGGCCUAACACAUGCAAGUCGAGGGGCAGCACAUGAAGUAGCAAUACGGAUGGUGGCGACCGGCGCACGGGUGAGUAACGCGUAUGCAACCUGCCUACAACAGGGGAAUAACCCGUUGAAAGACGGACUAAUACCCCAUAACACAGGGAUCCCGCAUGGGAAUAUUUGUUAAAGAUUUAUCGGUUGUAGAUGGGCAUGCGUUUCAUUAGCUGGUUGGUGAGGUAACGGCUCACCAAGGCAACGAUGGAUAGGGGAACUGAGAGGUUUAUCCCCCACACUGGUACUGAGACACGGACCAGACUCCUACGGGAGGCAGCAGUGAGGAAUAUUGGUCAAUGGACGCAAGUCUGAACCAGCCACGUCGCGUGAAGGAAGACGGCCCUACGGGUUGUAAACUCCUUUUGUAAGGGAAUAAAGUGCAGUACGUGUACUGUUUUGCAUGUACCUUACGAAUAAGGAUCGGCUAACUCCGUGCCAGCAGCCGCGGUAAUACGGAGGAUCCGAGCGUUAUCCGGAUUUAUUGGGUUUAAAGGGUGCGCAGGCGGGAGAUUAAGUCGGCGGUGAAAUUUUGCAGCUCAACUGUAAAAGUGCCUUCGAAACUGGUUUUCUUGAGUGUGGAUGAAGUAGGCGGAAUUUGUGGUGUAGCGGUGAAAUGCAUAGAUAUCACGAGGAACUCCGAUUGCGCAGGCAGCUUACUAAACCAUAACUGACGCUCAGGCACGAAGGCGUGGGGAUCAACAGGAUUAGAUACUCCUGGUAGUC